rnacentral:lncRNA from 10 species
AAAGGCAGCUGCCCAAGAGGUCCUGCAGCUGCACAUGCUUCCCUCCACCUUUUUAUGAGAAAGAAACAAAUGACCUCAGGGCAGAUUGAUGGAGGGUUUUUCUUCUUCCGGAAACUAAGCUUCAGCACCACUGGUUGAAGUAAUCAGCCAAUAUGGUAGAAAGAAGAAUGAAUGAAAACCAGAAGCCCCGGACUCUUGUUCUAGGCAACAUGGCUCAUGUGAUUACAGGCAAAGACUUGACAGCUGUCUCCUUCCAAAUCUGGCUCUACCACUUGCUAUCUGUGUGACAGUGGCCCUGUUACUCAGCUUCAUUAUGCCUCAGUUUCCUCAUGUGUUAAAUAGGGAUAGUAAUAGUUUCACCUACCUUAUAGAUUGUUUAUUAGGAUCAAAUUAACAUUCAUAAAGCAGACAGAAAAAUAUUUAGUACAAAGUAAGUGUUUGAUAAGUGUUUGUCAAUGAAGCAAGCUAUGCAAGUGUAGACAAGUUACUUAACUUGUCUGGGCCUAGAUCACAUUCUUUAUAAUAUGAAGAGAUUGCACAGCCUCCAAUCUGCUGAAUUUAAAUCCUGAUGAGUCAAAAAUCUGAAACUAUUGAAUAUCUUUCUCUGAAUAACUAGGCAAAUUUUGCAUCCAACAUAUGUGGAUGUCAAGUCACCUCUGGGGAAUAAUUAGAGGAGGAAACGGUGUAAUGUAAUGAGAAAAGAGAGGUAAAGCAAAAGAAAAGAGUUGAGUUGUUGGAAAUUAAAUAUUGGGAGACUGGAUUGUGAGAUUGUUGUGCUUUGAAGCUUGAACUUUAGGGGCAGUUUGGCCUUGGUCAAAUCCAGCUUCUAACCUGUAUGACCACUGACAGAUUCCUUAACAUCUCUGAGUCUCGCAAUCCCCAUGUCUAUUAUGGUACAACAGCAGUCCUUACUUCACAAGUAGUUGCUAAUGAGAAUAUGCAUAUAAAGCAUAAGGCUUGGCACUAGUAAGAAUGUAAUAACUCAUUUGGGUGGUGACUAAAAUCAUGAUGAUCAUGAUGUCUGUAAGAAAAUUUAGCAAUUUUCUAACUAGUCUCCUAUCAAUUCACAAAUUGUUAUAAAUAUAAAAGUUAUAUUAAGGGUGAGAGGAGAGGCUUAGCUCCACUUAAUUCCUAUUUCAAUUGUCAAGUUUACCACAUUUAAGUUAUGCAAAUAUAACAUGAAAGUAAAAAAAAUAACAUGUUAUCACGAUUUAUCUCUUUCAUUUAAAAAUAUUUUAUUUAAAUAUCCACAAUUUUAAAGUUUUCAAAUGGAAUUUUUAAAAUAACCAAUAAGGUAAUCAGUGAUUUUGUUUUAAGUUAAAGAGAAACAGAGUGUUAUGAAUCACUUGAGGAUGUGUGAUUGCACAGUGAUAGGAAUCGAGUGCAAGUCAUCUGUCCUUCAGAUGUGAAGAUGCUUCUGCUAGGUGUUAUUAUCAAUGUGAUUGGUGCAGCUCAAAUAAAUAGAAUUACUAACAAUUUUGCAUGCUGAAGAGAUUUUAGUAGGCCAAAUAAAUUGUUUAACUAUUUUCAAGGCUAUCCAUAAACAUUAUAUUAAAUCCAUAAUAAUGUCUUCAGUGGGCCGGGCGCGGUGGCUCACACCUGUAAUCCCAGCACUUUGG